ACAGUUUACUUUAUAUGUGCUUUAUAUCUGAAAAACUGGAAGCACUUUCUUUAGCUUUCCAAUGGGUAUAGAACUUUAAUCUUCAAUCCAUAUAACUACUUUGAAAAUUGUAUGUUUCUAAUUCCAAUGGUUUGAUCUGUGCGUUAAUUCUCUAUCAGUCAGUCGGAAGUUAAGAACAAAGCUACUUAACUAUCUCUGUUUCUCUAUUGUAUAUUUAUAUAAAAAGUGAGGGAGAGAGAAAAUAAAU